rnacentral:tRNA from 1 species
UUUCCAUAGUUGAGGUUCAACGAUGGUUUUUCAGGCCAUAGACCCUGGGUAAUACCCAGGUGGGAACU